AUGGGAAAUGCAAAUAGCAAGGCGCCGGAAGAGAAAAAGGUGUCAGAUGUGCAUGUACCCCCUCUUGCUGACCUACAUUCACAAGGGAGCCAAGGCCAUAAUGUUGACGGAAAUGUUGAUGAAUACAACCCAGCAAUCAUUCCCGUAGCUGACAAUGUUGACAAUUAUCAAAUGACUCCAGACUUGGAAGCACACAAGGAAACAGAUGGAACUGGCAUGACACGGUUAGAGCAGGACGAGCUUACAAACCUAACCAAACACCCUCUUUCUGAGAUAACAAUUGUUCAUCAGCCAGGGCAUGCGAGUUUACACAACCCAUCAUUCUGUAACCAUGAUGUUGCUUCGUUCCCUGGUCCGAGUACUCUCACAGAUAUUUGUGCCUGCGGCCUUGCAGGAAGUUCAUUUGACAAUAAUGUGCCUUCGUUCCCGGAUAGGAGUACUCUUGCAUCACUUUAUGCCACAGGUCACACAGAAGGCUCAAGAGCCAGAGAAUCUGCCCACAAUGAUGUGUGUCUUAAUGCCCUUGGUUGUGGUGGUUCAGAGCUUGUGACAUCGUCUACCCCAACAUGUGAUGUAUACCCAACUCAUUCCCAGACAACGUGUGCUGUUGUGAAUGACCAAGUGAGUUAUAGCAUAACAGACGACAAAAGGGAGCAGAGAAACGCACGACGGCGAGCAACUUAUCGAAAGAAAAAGGAUGAUCAGGUCAAGCUCCAAAAUGAAAAGCAGACUGUUUCCCGACCCCCUCUUGGUGAUAUCACUAAUAUUAAUCAGCCUUCCGGUUCAAUGCCAGGUAAGGGUGUUCAAAGUUAUGAGCUUACGGCGGUGACAAACCAAAUUUGGGAAUCAAAUAUUAGAAUACGCACUUUUAGCUUUGACUUACAAUAG
rnacentral:rRNA from 1 species